rnacentral:tRNA from 1 species
GACGCGGUGGCCUAAUGGUUAGCGCGUUGGACUCUGGAUUGAGUGGUCUGGGUCCGAGUCCUGGCCUGGGUCA